rnacentral:rRNA from 1 species
GAUGAACGCUGGCGGCGUGCCUAAUACAUGCAAGUCGAGCGAACGGACGAGAAGCUUGCUUCUCUGAUGUUAGCGGCGGACGGGUGAGUAACACGUGGAUAACCUACCUAUAAGACUGGGAUAACUUCGGGAAACCGUAGCUAAUACCGGAUAAUAUUUUGAACCGCAUGGUUCAAAAGUGAAAGACGGUCUUGCUGUCACUUAUAGAUGGAUCCGCUCUGCUUUAGCUAGUUGGUAAGGUAACGGCUUACCAAGGCAACGAUGCAUAGCCGACCUGAGAGGGUGAUCGGCCACACUGGAACUGAGACACGGUCCAGACUCCUACGGGAGGCAGCAGUAGGGAAUCUUCCGCAAUGGGCGAAAGCCUGACGGAGCAACGCCGCGUGAGUGAUGAAGGUCUUCGGAUCGUAAAACUCUGUUAUUAGGGAAGAACAUAUGUGUAAGUAACUGUGCACAUCUUGACGGUACCUAAUCAGAAAGCCACGGCUAACUACGUG